GAUCCUGGCUCAGGACGAACGCUGGCGGCGUGCCUAAUACAUGCAAGUAGAACGCUGAAGANAGGAGCUUGCUCUUCUUGGGUGAGUUGCGAACGGGUGAGUAACGCGUAGGUAACCUGCCUUGUAGCGGGGGAUAACUAUUGGAAACGAUAGCUAAUACCGCAUAACAAUGAAUGACUCAUGUCAUUUAUUUGAAAGGGGCAAUUGCUCCACUACAAGAUGGACCUGCGUUCCAUUAG
rnacentral:rRNA from 1 species